CCUUCGAUAUCUCAGUUGGUAGAGCGGGGGACUGUAGAUUUAUAAUUGUGAUCUCUAGGUCGCUGGUUCGAAUCCGGCUCGAAGGA
rnacentral:tRNA from 1 species